CUCUGCUACCUCACCCCCUCCAUCUACACGGACACACACGGAUCCAGGUCUGAAUGUUUCUAACUCGGUUCAGUUCCCAGAUGAGACACUGCGGAGCGUUUAGCUGCUCAACAUGAUUGUAGCUGUCAUCAACUCCACACAGGAGUUGAUGUGUCACAUGAUGAUGGGGAGCCUGGUGAGUUUCAGGAACGACUGUGCUCAACAUCCUCAGUGAGACACUCCCAGAGGACACCUGUCCUCGCGUCUUCCACCUGUCCUCGCGUCUUCCACCUGUCCUCGCGUCGUCCUCUUCAUGUGUCCACAGUUUAGUCUCUAGACUGGGAGACCUUUGAGCAGUACAGCACCUAGCAGCUGUUCCUGGCUCAUAGCUUCCCCCUGGAGACCAUCAUCCCCAUCCUGCAGCACCUUAAAUAUAAAGAACACAGGCCUUAUACUGUCUGCUGCUGCUGCUCUGCAGAGAGAAGUACGACAGGAACACAUCUGGAUACUCGUGUUAGAGACUCCUGGGUCCCCGUUAACGUCUCUGUGUCCCAGGCCCUAAGGAGAUGGUGAAGAUGGUCCUGAGUCGUCCAUGUCACCCCGAGGACCAGUUCACCACUAGCAUCCUGGGACACUGGGUGUCCAAUCCCGACAACACGCUGGGAGAACACAUCAAGGCCCAGCUGAUCAAGAACAACAACCAGCCCCACAAGAGACAGAGUCUUCACUCUGACCCCGAUCCCUCAGGCUCUGCAGCACGUUCAGGCCAGCUGUGAUGAGCUGGACAGGUAGGCUGGAAUAAAAUGCAGCUGCUUUGUAUUGGAGGAAUCCCCCACUGGCCACGCCAAUCAUCAUCGAGCCUAGACAGCAGGAGGAGUCAACGUCAUCUGGUCC